AUUGAACGCUGGCGGCAUGCCCUACACAUGCAAGUCGAACGGCAGCACGGGAGCAAUCCUGGUGGCGAGUGGCGAACGGGUGAGUAAUAUAUCGGAACGUGCCCAGUCGUGGGGAUAACGUAGCGAAAGCUACGCUAAUACCGCAUACGAUCUAUGGAUGAAAGCGGGGGAUCGCAAGACCUCGCGCGAUUGGAGCGGCCGAUAUCAGAUUAGGUAGUUGGUGAGGUAAAGGCUCACCAAGCCGACGAUCUGUAGCUGGUCUGAGAGGACGACCAGCACACUGGGACUGAGACACGGCCCAGACUCCUACGGGAGGCAGCAGU
rnacentral:rRNA from 1 species